UUGCUGACCAGCCAGAGUCCUCGGCUCAGCCUGGUUAUACAUUGUAGGAGGAGGAGCAAGCCGAGGUGAGGCUAGAAUAUUGAUGGUACUCCAAUCAAUGUGCCCUUUACCUCGGUGACCUCUUCGCCGGCAAAGAAGUAAGGGUCGGUGUAACUUAAGAACCAGAGGCAGGCACGUGCUAAGGGCUGCAGUGAUGCAGUACAUUGUAUACCGUCAAGCAGUCAGCACAGAGGCAAGGGUGCCGGAUCACGUGGAGUUUCCAAGACAGCACACACAGAGCGCUUGCACAGUUCGAGGAUGCAGUGACAUGAACUCGUACACACAAAAAUAGCAGGGAGAGCAGUUUUUAAGGAGAACCCUGUGGACUGUGAAAUCAGACUUCGGCCCUUCUUUGUCAAUGGACAAAACCCAGACGGCUCCAGCCUGAGUGUCACACCUCUUUCUAAACUACUGCACAGGAGGGACCAGAGACACAGCCAUCAGGGCAUCACAAGAGCACACAGAAAACUGUUAGAAGUAGUGACAACCAGACACUGCAGUGACUUUGAAAACUGUGCACUUGGUGCAAGGUCUGUUAGGUGUGCAUCCCAGAAAGCCAUGGUAGCGUUAGAAGCAUUGGACUCUGUCUUAGUGGCCUCAUGAGAGUUUGCCCCAAACUGACUUUACCCUACUGAAUAAGAAUCAUAAUCAUACAAACAAGUCUAAGUCUUAAAGUUUAAAAUUCCCCCAGAAAGUUACUGAGCUCUAACUAAAGCUGUUAGGUUUCAUGUGGUGUCAAUAUAACUGUAUGCUGUGGGAUUCUACAUAUGAUCUCUACGGCAUCUGUGUGGGGAGGAUUCCCAGUCCAUCCACCUCCAGCCUUCACUGGAUAUAGGAAUCCAAGCUACAAUAUCCUGGCCGGCACUUAAGCACAACGAUCUCUUCCUAGGUCCUACGCCCAAGUUAUGGUGUGAGCACACUCAGUGGGUUUGCUGAUGGUCAGCAAUUUAGCGUGGUGAGGGUGGACAGGUGCACUAAAGCUUAAUUUGGGGAAGCUUCUUCUUUCUUGUAGAAAAAAACCAGAAGUCUGAAUAAUUUCUAGGAACAAAACUUUUUAAAAGGCAAGAUCAAAAUGGAAGAAAUUUUAAUUUACAAUAGGUAAAGAGAUGACACUCACCAGAAAAAAACAAACAAAAGGAAAUCCACCUCCAAAUUCGGGAACUGUAAGAUGAACCACAAGGGCACCAUUCUGAUCUACUUUGCAUGACCAAGGUCUCAAAUUGUAGGAUUGAGACCUGUCAUAACUACUGGAAUAUUUACUUUUGAAGAUAACUGCUUCAAGGAAUUCUAUAAAUGUGUUUUAAGGGGCAGAGAUUUGCGGGUCUCUUAGAUUUGAUUUUGCCUUACGCUCAGUGCAAAAUAUUUGUACAAAAAUAUAAAAGGCAUGGCUUGAUGUUUAACGUCUGUGUUUUAUUUUGUCUUGUUGGCACCAGAAAAAGCUCAUGUUAUGUUACGUCACUGUCCAUACUGUAAACAAGAUAGCAUUAAUAUGUUUUCUUAUGAUUUUUGUUCCAAUGAAUCUAGAUUUUAAAAAAUACAUUCACAAACUACCUUAUGUUUAAACACAAUGAUUCCCUUUUAUUUCUUAACUGUACCCAAAGUCCCACAAUAAAAAAUCAUUUAAA